GGGCUUGCUUUGACAGCACAUAUACUAAAAUUGGAACGACACAGAGAAGAUUAGCAUGGCCCCUGUGCAAGGAUCACACGCAAAUUCCUGAAGCAUUCCAUAUUUUU
rnacentral:snRNA from 1 species